GAGCCCGCACAAGCAGUGGAGUAUGUGGAUUAAUUCGAUGCAACGCGAAGAACCUUACCAGGGCUUGACAUCCACAGGAGGCCGAGUAAAUUUGGCUGUGCCCCUUCGGGGGAACUGUGAGACAGGUGGUGCAUGGUUGUCGUCAGCUCGUGUCGUGAGAUGUUGGGUUAAGUCCCGCAACGAGCGCAACCCCUACGGUUAGUUGCUACGGAAGAGCACUCUAACAGGACUGCCGUUGAUAAAACGGAGGAAGGUGGGGACGACGUCAAAUCAUCAUGCCCCUUACGCUCUGGGCUUCACACGUACUACAAUGGCGCAAACAGAGGGGAGCAAGGCGGCGACGCGGAGCAAAUCCCAAAAGGCGCCCAGUUCAGAUUGCAGGCUGCAACUCGCCUGCAUGAAGUUGGAAUUGCUAGUAAUCGCAAAUCAGAAUGUUG
rnacentral:rRNA from 1 species